rnacentral:misc_RNA from 1 species
CCUAGAGUUUGUUAGGCUUUGCCUGCCUAUCUUCUUACCCAUGUCUUUUGAGUACCUUACGUUUCCUCGGUGGGUUCGCCCACCGAUUGGACAAAUUUAAACCCUUUGCAGUUGAAAUCAGCGUCUGAAAAAACUUAAUAGUUUA